rnacentral:misc_RNA from 1 species
GAUGAAGAACGUAGCGAAAUGCGAUACUUGGUGUGAAUUGCAGAAUCCCGUGAACCAUCGAGUCUUUGAACGCAAGUUGCGCCCGAAGCCACUAGGCCGAGGGCACGCCUGCCUGGGCGUCACACGCCGUUGCCCCCCCAUCUACUCCUUCGGGAUUGCGGGGGGGCGGAUGAUGGCCUCCCGUGCGCCUAGCCGCGCGGUUGGCAUAAAUACCAAGUCCUCGGCGACGCACGCCACGACAAUCGGUGGUUGCGAAACCUCGGUGGCCCGUCGUGUGCGUUCGUCGCGCAUCGAGGGCUCGAAAAAAUGCUCGGCUCCGGCUGGGCUUUCAACGCGACCCCAGGUCAGGCGGGGUUACCCGCUGAAUUUAAGCAUAUCAAUAAGCGGAGGA